rnacentral:tRNA from 2 species
CUCGUAGCUCAGCUGGAUAGAGUACCUGGCUACGAACCAGGCGGUCAGAGGUUCGAAUCCUCUCGAGCGCGCCA